rnacentral:rRNA from 1 species
CACGUAGGGUGCGAGCGUUGUCCGGAAUUAUUGGGCGUAAAGAGCUCGUAGGCGGUGUGUCGCGUCGGCCGUGAAAACCUGCAGCUUAACUGUGGGCUUGCGGUCGAUACGGGCAUCACUGGAGUUCGGCAGGGGAGACUGGAAUUCCUGAUGUAGCGGUGAAAUGCGCAGAUAUCAGGAGGAACACCGAUGGCGAAGGCAGGUCUCUGG